rnacentral:tRNA from 1 species
GGUCUGGUAGCCAAGUGGUAAGGCAGGAGUCUGCAAAACUCCUAUACGCGAGUUCGAUUCUCGCCCAGACCU